GCCGGACAUGGUGGCGCAUGCCUGUAAUCCCAGCUACUUGGGAGGCUGAGGCAGGAGAAUCAUUUGAACCCAGGAAGCAGAGGUUGCGGUAAGCCGAGAUCAUGCCACUGCACUCCGGUCUGGGAGUGCACUCCAACAAGAAGGAGUUUCGCUCUUUUUGCCCAGGCUGGAGUGCAGUGGUGGGAUCUCAGCUCACCGCAACCUCCACCUCCCGGGUUCAGGCGAUUCUCCUGCCUCAG
rfam:Homo sapiens chromosome 7, GRCh38 reference primary assembly.